rnacentral:tRNA from 1 species
AAGCAUUAGAUUGUGAAUCUAAAGCCAGAGACUAAUCCCUCUUAUUUACC